CCCUCAAAAGCCCUUUUCUUGACAGCAAGACUUUUAUUUUAAAAUUAAAAGCCCUAACCACCGAACCCAUACAGAGUCCUUCCCUGCCUCUUGAGGGCAUACACCACAUCCAUGGCAGUAACGGUCUUGCGGCGAGCAUGCUCAGUGUAGGUCACGGCAUCUCUGAUAACAUUCUCCAGGAAGAUCUUGAGCACACCACGAGUCUCUUCAUAGAUCAAGCCACUGAUACGCUUGACCCCACCCCUCCGAGCAAGACGGCGGAUUGCAGGCUUUGUGAUACCUUGAAUGUUAUCACGAAGGACCUUGCGAUGACGCUUGG